AGAGUUUGAUCCUGGCUCAGAGUGAACGCUGGCGGUAGGCCUAACACAUGCAAGUCGAACGGCAGCACAGUAAGAGCUUGCUCUUACGGGUGGCGAGUGGCGGACGGGUGAGGAAUACAUCGGAAUCUACUUUUUCGUGGGGGAUAACGUAGGGAAACUUACGCUAAUACCGCAUACGACCUACGGGUGAAAGCAGGGGAUCUUCGGACCUUGCGCGAUUGAAUGAGCCGAUGUCGGAUUAGCUAGUUGGCGGGGUAAAGGCCCACCAAGGCGACGAUCCGUAGCUGGUCUGAGAGGAUGAUCAGCCACACUGGAACUGAGACACGGUCCAGACUCCUACGGGAGGCAGCAGUGGGGAAUAUUGGACAAUGGGCGCAAGCCUGAUCCAGCCAUACCGCGUGGGUGAAGAAGGCCUUCGGGUUGUAAAGCCCUUUUGUUGGGAAAGAAAUCCAGCUGGUUAAUACCCGGUUGGGAUGACGGUACCCAAAGAAUAAGCACCGGCUAACUUCGUGCCAGCAGCCGCGGUAAUACGAAGGGUGCAAGCGUUACUCGGAAUUACUGGGCGUAAAGCGUGCGUAGGUGGUUGUUUAAGUCUGUUGUGAAAGCCCUGGGCUCAACCUGGGAACUGCAGUG
rnacentral:rRNA from 1 species